rnacentral:rRNA from 1 species
GCAAACCAGGAUUAGAUACCCUGGUAGUUCACGCUGUAAACGGAUGGGCCCCAGAUGUGGGGAGGUGUCGACUCCCUCCCGUGUCGUAGCUAACGCAUAGUGCCCCGCCUGGGGAGUACGGCCGCAAGGCUAAAACUCAAAGGAAUUGACGGGGGCCCGCACAAGCAGCGGAGCAUGUGGUUUAAUUCGACGCAACGCGAAGAACUUACUGGGCUUGACAUGUCCGUGACCGCCAUAGAAAUAUGGUUUCUCUUCGGAGCACGGUCACAGGUGGUGCAUGGCUGUCGUCAGCUCGUGCGUGAGAUGUUGGGUUAAGUCCCGCAACGAGCGCAACCCCCCGUCGUAUGUUGCCAGCAUUUAGUUGGGGACUCAUACGAGACUGCCGGUGACAAACCGGAGGAAGGUGGGGAUGACGUCAAGUCAUCAUGCCCCUCAUGUCCAGGGCUACACACGUGCUACAUUGGCGCAUACAGAGGGCUGCGAGACCGCGAGGUGGAGCGAAUCCCUUAAAGUGCGUCUCGGUUCGGAUUGCAGGCUGAAACUCGCCUGCAUGAAGGUGGAGUUGCUAGUAAUCGCGGAUCAGCAUUGCCGCGGUGAAUACGUUCCCGGGCCUUGUACACACCGCCCGUCACACCACGGGAGUAAGCAACACCCGAAGCCGGUGUCCUAACCCUUACGGGAGGGAGCCGUCGAAGGUGGGGCUUGUGACUGGGGUGAAGUCGUAACAAGGUAACCGUAAA